AAUCACAACCUUCAUACGAUUCUUGACGUACCCGAACGAUGUCGUAUUAGCGGCCAUUUUCAGAGCAACAUCCAACACCGCCAAAGUAUGACUGUCCUCAUAUAAGGUACUAUGACGACCUCAUGUCAAAGGACCAAUUCCACUAUCGAACGUUAGAGAUCAACCACUGACACUCAGAUAGUUAUCCAUGUAGAAUCUCUCGACGGGUCUCCAAUGUUUUGUUCUAUAACAAAAACAUCCACGUGUUCAUUUAAGUGUCAC
rnacentral:lncRNA from 1 species